CAGUGGGGAAUAUUGGACAAUGGGCGAAAGCCUGAUCCAGCAAUGCCGCGUGUGUGAAGAAGGUCUUCGGAUUGUAAAGCACUUUCGACGGGGACGAUGAUGACGGUACCCGUAGAAGAAGCCCCGGCUAACUUCGUGCCAGCAGCCGCGGUAAUACGAAGGGGGCUAGCGUUGCUCGGAAUGACUGGGCGUAAAGGGCGUGUAGGCGGUUUGCACAGUCAGAUGUGAAAUUCCAGGGCUUAACCUUGGGGCUGCAUUUGAUACGUGUAGACUAGAGUGUGAGAGAAGGGUUGUGGAAUUCCCAGUGUAGAGGUGAAAUUCGUAGAUAUUGGGAAGAACACCGGUGGCGGAAGGCGGCAACCUGGCUCAUUACUGACGCUGAGGCGCGAAAGCGUGGGGAGC
rnacentral:rRNA from 1 species